GGUGUUGUUUGUUUGCGGUGUGCAGGGCUUCGCACAGUUCUCAACGGGAGAGAACGCACGACUCCAGAAGGAAACUUUGACAGAGCGCAGUCGCUAGAAAAACAUUAUUAAUAUUUUUGACAAAGCGCACUUCUCUCCAGGCACUGCUCCAUUAGCUGGCUGACAUUUUCAUUUUACAAGGCAUAAUUUGUUUGAUUUUAUUUUCCUCCUCCAAGCGUUAAAAGGACUCCCAGCCCAGACAUGCAAAUGGUCCAGCUGCCUCGUCUAUAUUUCUACAUUCUUGCAUACAUGUCAAGAAAUGGGGACGAAAAUGAGAAUUUUUUUUGGCUUGUAUCUAAUAUUUUUAUUUAACAGGUUAAAAUAAUCUUGGCUUGAGCUCAACAAUCUAGUAGCGUAACACCAAAGUUUUUGAUCUUCUUUUUAUUAUUUUAUUUUAUUGGCAGUAGAUUGAAAGAGCAGUUGUAGAGAGACAAAGAUAGCUGAAAGAGUUGUCUAAAAUGGAGAGGAAUACAUUUGAUCAUUAGCCGAAAUUGGUCAUUUUUCCUGUGUUUGCGGUACUGGAAAAGAGUACUAAAUGCUUGAGUGUUUUGUGGACUCAUCCAUUGGUAAUAGUUGGUGGCUUGUAAAGGUGAGGUAAAUAAGAUUCUCUUUUCCAUCUUAUUUUGUAAUGUCGGAUCAAGGCAGCUCGUCUUCAGUCUCUGCAAACUCAGUUCUUCAAAAAUCAUCAUGACAAAAUAUAUAGUAAAGAAGCUCUUGAGAUUAGUGCCAGUCUCGUUGAAAUCAACCCUGAAAUUUACACCGUAUGGAAUUACCGCAAGAUGGCUGUAAAAAAUAUGUUGGAAUCUGAAGCCGAUGGUGUUGCAAUUAGGGAGAUCCUUAACGGAGAACUUCGCUUGAUAUCCAAAGGAUCAAGAGGGGCCUUUGCUUGGACUUACACAAAAGAAUACUCAAAGGAGAUAGAUUGCAAAAAAUUGGAAUCGGCCAUGUAUCAUUUUAACCUUGUGUAGGUUAGAGAUGCUGGGUUAAAUAUGUAUACAGAAUGUAGAGGCACAGACAGGGUACACGAACUGUUUGACAAAAUGGGAUAUGUACAUAAUGGAUUUGGCGAUCGUCCAUUAGCAGACGACGAGCUCACUGGAGUGUAGUUUUGGAGCUCGUAUGGCGGGCUAUUGCUUGAUCUUAUUUACCAUCCCUGUACUUGUAUUUGCAGGAAUUUGCAAUUUUCAAUGAGAGAGAACGCAGAUCUCCAAAGGCAGCUGCAGGGCCGUCAAAGUGGAGUCCCCGGCCAUCGCUUGAAACAGAUGGUGAUCGCAAAAAAAAUUGCAAAAAUUAGAUUUAGGGAAAACAUACAUGUCCAAAUGCAGGGCCAUCUAGUUCCUAACAGUAGUAUGAAACAGAUGGCCCUCUAGAAGAAAGAUUUGCUGAGAUCAAAACCUAGGGAAUGUGGUUGAAGGCAAGGAAGAUAAACAAUUGUUGAUAAAAGAAUGAGUUUGCCUGCAUGCUAGAUACUUGCAAUACUUUAGGGCAUCGUUUUGUGCAUCGAUUUGUGCAAGGUUGAUUAUUAUUAAAUAAGCAUAGAGUUACUAAAGAAUACAAAAGAGGUUUUUGGAUCUGUC